rnacentral:rRNA from 1 species
UACAGAGGGGGCAAGCGUUGUUCGGAAUUACUGGGCGUAAAGGGCGCGUAGGCGGCCUGCUAAGUCGAACGUGAAAUCCCUGGACUCAACCCAGGAACUGCGUCCGAUACUGGUUGGCUUGAAUCCGGGAGAGGGAUGUGGAAUUCCAGGUGUAGCGGUGAAAUGCGUAGAUAUCUGGAGGAACACCGGUGGCGAAGGCGACAUCCUGGACCGGUAUUGACGCUGAGGCGCGAAAGCCAGGGGAGCAAACGGG